UGGCGGCGUGCCUAAUACAUGCAAGUCGAACGAGUUCUGAUUAUUGAAAGGUGCUUGCAUCUUGAUUUAAUUUUGAACGAGUGGCGGACGGGUGAGUAACACGUGGGUAACCUGCCCUUAAGUGGGGGAUAACAUUUGGAAACAGAUGCUAAUACCGCAUAAAUCCAAAAACCGCAUGGUUCUUGGCUGAAAGAUGGCGUAAGCUAUCGCUUUUGGAUGGACCCGCGGCGUAUUAGCUAGUUGGUGAGGUAACGGCUCACCAAGGCAAUGAUACGUAGCCGAACUGAGAGGUUGAUCGGCCACAUUGGGACUGAGACACGGCCCAAACUCCUACGGGAGGCAGCAGUAGGGAAUCUUCCACAAUGGACGCAAGUCUGAUGGAGCAACGCCGCGUGAGUGAAGAAGGCUUUCGGGUCGUAAAACUCUGUUGUUGGAGAAGAAUGGUCGGCAGAGUAACUGUUGUCGGCGUGACGGUAUCCAACCAGAAAGCCACGGCUAACUACGUGCCAGCAGCCGCGGUAAUACGUAGGUGGCAAGCGUUAUCCGGAUUUAUUGGGCGUAAAGCGAGCGCAGGCGGUUUUUUAAGUCUGAUGUGAAAGCCCUCGGCUUAACCGAGGAAGUGCAUCGGAAACUGGGAAACUUGAGUGCAGAAGAGGACAGUGGAACUCCAUGUGUAGCGGUGAAAUGCGUAGAUAUAUGGAAGAACACCAGUGGCGAAGGCGGCUGUCUGGUCUGUAACUGACGCUGAGGCUCGAAAGCAUGGGUAGCGAACAGGAUUAGAUACCCUGGUAGUCCAUGCCGUAAACGAUGAAUGCUAGGUGUUGGAGGGUUUCCGCCCUUCAGUGCCGCAGCUAACGCAUUAAGCAUUCCGCCUGGGGAGUACGACCGCAAGGUUGAAACUCAAAGGAAUUGACGGGGGCCCGCACAAGCGGUGGAGCAUGUGGUUUAAUUCGAAGCAACGCGAAGAACCUUACCAGGUCUUGACAUCUUUUGAUCACCUGAGAGAUCAGGUUUCCCCUUCGGGGGCAAAAUGACAGGUGGUGCAUGGUUGUCGUCAGCUCGUGUCGUGAGAUGUUGGGUUAAGUCCCGCAACGAGCGCAACCCUUAUGACUAGUUGCCAGCAUUUAGUUGGGCACUCUAGUAAGACUGCCGGUGACAAACCGGAGGAAGGUGGGGAUGACGUCAAAUCAUCAUGCCCCUUAUGACCUGGGCUACACACGUGCUACAAUGGAUGGUACAACGAGUUGCGAGACCGCGAGGUCAAGCUAAUCUCUUAAAGCCAUUCUCAGUUCGGACUGUAGGCUGCAACUCGCCUACACGAAGUCGGAAUCGCUAGUAAUCGCGGAUCAGCACGCCGCGGUGAAUACGUUCCCGGGCCUUGUACACACCGCCCGUCACACCAUGAGAGUUUGUAACACCCGAAGCCGGUGGCGUAACCCUUUUAGGGAGCGAGCCGUCUAAGGUGGGACAAAUGAUUAGGGUGAAGUCA
rnacentral:rRNA from 1 species